GGAUGUGAACAGCCUGAGUACCUGGUGCGUAGUAGGUGUCGUUCAGGACACAGCAGAUAAGCACAGAGGAAGGGUAGGGCCUCAGGCCUGUGGUCCUGAUGAUGCUGGGUGUGGAGAGUGGGGUCGGCGUGGGGGUCCAGGCACUGGUGGUGGUCGUCUGCACAGUGCUGGGGGUGGGGGCUGAAGAUGACCCAGUCGUGGUACCGCGAGUGGGGGUGCUGGAGGGGACGUGGUGGUGCUGGGCGGUGGAGACAGUGUGUGGCCUCCGCUCGUGGUCGUGGGUGCCGUGGGUGUGGAGGGUGGGGCCGUGCUGGUCAUCUCAAUGGCAGGUGGUAGGGUACUCAGAAGGGUGGUUGACUCCGUGAGAGGGGAAGAGGUGGACCGAGAGGUCUGAGGGGUUGAGGACUCAGGCGGAGGAUUGGAUGUGGUCAACUCAGCAAUCGGUGCUGUGCUUGUGUGGGUGGGGGGCCCCGUGCUUCCAGUGGUGGGUGUUGGGGUUGGGGUCACCGUAGUGGUGGUGCUGAUGGGUAUCAUGGUUGGGGUCUGUGUGCCGGUGGGUGUUGGGGUUGCGGUCACCGUAGUUGUGGUGGUGAUGGGUGUCACGGUUGUACUCUUUGUGCUGGUGGGUGUUGGGGUUGGGGUCAUCGUAGUGGUGGUGGUGAUGAGUACCGUGGUUGGGGUCUGUGUGCCGGUGGGUGUCGGGGUUGGGGUCACCGUGGUGGUGGUGGUGAUGGGUGUCGUGGUUGGGGUCUGUGUGCCGGUGGGUGUUGGGGUUGGGGUCACCGUAGUGGUGGUGGAGAUGGGUGUCGGGGUUGGGGUCUGUGUGCCGGUGGGU
rnacentral:lncRNA from 1 species